rnacentral:rRNA from 1 species
GAUGAACGCUAGCGGUGUGCCUUAUACAUGCAAGUCGAACGCCCGUAGCAAUACGGGAGUGGCAAACGGGUGAGUAACACGUGGAUAAUCUACCCUCGAGUGGGGAAUAACUCCGCGAAAGCGGAGCUAAUACCGCAUUCAGUGCGAAGGUGCAAUUCCUUUUCACUAAAGAUUUAUCGCUUGAGGAGGAGCCUGCGUCUGAUUAGCUAGUUGGUGGGGUAAUGGCCCACCAAGGCGACGAUCAGUAGCCGGUCUGAGAGGAUGAACGGCCACAUUGGGACUGAGACACGGCCCAAACUCCUACGGGAGGCAGCAGUGGAGAAUCUUCCGCAAUGGACGAAAGUAUGACGGAGCAACGCCGCGUGAGUGAAGAAGGUUUUCGGAUCGUAAAGCUCUGUUGUUUGAGACGAAUGUGCCUGUUUCGAAUAGGGAUAGGUAAUGACGGUAUUAAACGAGAAAGCCACGGCUAACUACGUGCCAGCCGCCGCGGUAA